GGAAUCCUUCACAUUUAUCUGUGUAAUAAAAGUUUUAACUUUAAUUCAUCAGAUUUCCCUAAUAUCAUAUACUUUUUUCCACUUAUUGUACCAUAAAUACCCCCAAAAAAGUCAGCGAAUUAAAAUUUGAGAUACCACAUAACAAUAAAGAGAGAGAGAGAGAAAAAAAAAGCAUAGUUUUCCAACGAAAUAUCUUAACCCAUAAAGCAAUAAAAAUCAGAAAAAAAAAAUCGUCAGUAGUUUAAGCCGCCAUAAAAUUCAUAUCCAGCUAUAGGUAAAAAUCUCAUAAUAAUCUCACGAAUUUGUUGUUGUCUGUAUUAGUAUAUAAGAGCGACUCAGACCGACAGCGGGUCCAGUGUUGAGUUAGUGAGUGCGAGGAAAAGAGCGUUUGUCGAAUAUUUGAAAAUACUUCGAAAGAUGAGUGCGUGUAACUGAGUAAAUAAACAAUCUCCAAGAAAUGCAAGGACACAAAGCAAAAUAAAAAGGAAAGAGAGAGAAAACGUGGCAAAGAAAAA